rnacentral:rRNA from 1 species
GAUGAACGCUGGCGGCGUGCCUAAUACAUGCAAGUCGAGCGAACAGACGAGGAGCUUGCUCCUCUGACGUUAGCGGCGGACGGGUGAGUAACACGUGGAUAACCUACCUAUAAGACUGGGAUAACUUCGGGAAACCGGAGCUAAUACCGGAUAAUAUAUUGAACCGCAUGGUUCAAUAGUGAAAGACGGUUUUGCUGUCACUUAUAGAUGGAUCCGCGCCGCAUUAGCUAGUUGGUAAGGUAACGGCUUACCAAGGCAACGAUGCGUAGCCGACCUGAGAGGGUGAUCGGCCACACUGGAACUGAGACACGGUCCAGACUCCUACGGGAGGCAGCGGUAGGGAAUCUUCCCCAAUGGGCGAAAGCCUGACGGAGCAACGCCGCGUGAGUGAUGAAGGUCUUCGGAUCGUAAAACUCUGUUAUUAGUGAAGAACAAAUGUGUAAGUAACUAUGCACGUCUUGACGGUACCUAAUCAGAAAGCCACGGCUAACUACGUG